rnacentral:rRNA from 1 species
UGAUUAGAUAUGCAAUAGACCCCCUUAUUGCGAAGAGCAGCCUUCUACCCUAUUAUUGCCGCUGAGGCCCGGAAGCGUGGGGAUCAAUCAGGAUUAGAUACCCUGGUAGUCCACGCCCCUAAACGAUGAUUACUCGACGUGUGCGGAUAAACGGUACGCGUCUGAGCGAAAGCAUUAAGUAAUCCACCUGCGAAAGUACGACCGCAAGGUUGAAACUCAAAGGAAUUGGCGGGGGGUCCCGCACAAGCGGUGGAGCAUGUGGUUUAAUUCGAUGAUACGCGAGGAACCUUACCUGGGCUAGAAUGCAGUCUGACCGUGGGUGAAAGCUCAUUUUGUAGCAAUACACAGAUUGUAAGGUGCUGCAUGGCUGUCGUCAGCUCGUGCCGUGAGGUGUUGGGUUAAGUCCCGCAACGAGCGCAGCCCCUAUCAUUAGUUGCCAACAGGUAAGGCUGGGAACUCUAGUGAAACUGCCGUCGUAAGACGCGAGGAAGGAGGGGAUGAUGUCAAGUCAUCAUGGCCUUUAUGCCCAGGGCUACACACGUGCUACAAUGGGGUGGACAAAGGGCUGCGACACAGUGAUGUGAAGCCCCUCCAAAAAACCACUUCUCAGUUCAGAUCGGAGUCUGCAACUCGCUCCGUGAAGCUGGAAUCGCUAGUGAAGUCUUGUUUAUCCAAUGAUCGUGAUCGUACCGUGUCGUCGACGCCGCUCAGUCGAUCGUCAGCUGCAGACUAGUCCUCAGGAUGUCC